AUUUAUUAUGCGUGUAUCAGAGAUAAGCUGUGAGGUGGUGGAGGAAGGACCUAAAGGUAGGAGAGAGGAGGCGCGGACGGGAGGACCCCAAACAUCAUAGACUAAUGUGUGCCUCACCAGGUUCCUCCGAGGAGUCUCUAGUAACCCACUGGCGCUCUUCACAUAGCCAGGCCGGUUCCUUUGGUCUUAAAGGCUGAGUGGGGAGAUCAGCGGGUGGGGACUUCAGGGCUGGGUCUGGAGGGGUAGCGGCCCUGGCAGCCGCCUCUGUGGAUGGGAAAG
rnacentral:lncRNA from 1 species